GACAUAGGUGGCGAACGUUAUCCGGAAUUAUUGGGCGUAAAGGGUGCGUAGGUGGUUCCGUAAGUUAGUGAUGAGAAAUCAGGGCUCAACCUUGUGGAAGUUGCUAAUACUAUGGAACUAGAAGGCAGGAGAGGUUAACAGAGUUCUCUGUGGAGCGGUAAAAUGUAUAGAUAUAGAGAAAAAUACCAAGAAGGCGAAGGCAGUUAACUAGUCUGUUCUUGACACUGAGGCACGAAAGCGUGGGGAGCAAAAAGG
rnacentral:rRNA from 1 species